rnacentral:lncRNA from 1 species
CCCCAAAAAGUGUCCCCAAAUGUCAUAGGGGUCCCCAAGAUGUGUCCCCAAGUGCCACAGGGGUCCCCUGGGAAUGUCCCCAAAUGCCACAGGGGUCCCCACAGCCCCCCAGAGUGUCCCCAAGUGCCUCAGGGGUCCCCAAAAAGUGUCCCCAAAUGUCAUAGGGGUCCCCAAGGAAUGUCCCCAAAUGUCAUAGGGGUCCCCCAAAAGUGUCCCCAAAUGUCACAGGGGUCCCCAGGGAAUGUCCCCAAAAGCCACAGGGAUCCCCACAGCCCUCAGAGUGUCCCCAAAUGCCACAGGGGUCCCCAAGGAAUGUCCCCAAAAGCCACAGGGGUCCCCAGAGCCCCCCAGAGUGUCCCCCAGUGCCACAGGGGUCCCCAAAAAGUGUCCCCAAAUGUCACAGGGGUCCCCAAGGAAUGUCCCCAACAUCCACAGGGGUCCCCACAGCCCCCCAGAGUGUCCCCAAAUGUCACAGGGAUCCCCAAAGAGUGUCCCCAAAUGCCACAGGGUCCCCAUAAAGUGUCCCCAAAUGUCACAGGGGUCCCCAAGGAAUGUCCCCAACAUCCACAGGGGUCCCCACAGCCCCCCAGAGUGUCCCCAAAUGCCAGAAGGGCCCCCAAAAAGUGUCCCCAAAUGUCAUAGGGGUCCCCAAGAUGUGUCCCCAAGUGCCACAGGGGUCCCCUGGGAAUGUCCCCAAAUGCCACAGGG